CCCGCACAAGCGGAGGAACAUGUGGUUUAAUUCGAUGAUACGCGAGGAACCUUACCUGGGCUAGAACGCAUUCGGAAUCAGGCCGAAAGGCCUGCGCCAGCGAUGGCCGCUUGCGAGGUGCUGCAUGGUUGUCGUCAGCUCGUGCCGUGAGGUGUCGGGUUAAGUCCCAUAACGAGCGCAACCCCUACUGCUAGUUGCCAGCGGGUCAUGCCGGGGACUCUAGCGGAACUGCCAGCGUAAGCUGCGAGGAAGGUGGGGAUGACGUCAAAUCAGCACGGCCCUUACGUCCAGGGCUACACACGUGUUACAAUGGCCGGUACAGAGGGCAGCCACCCCGCGAGGGGGCGCGAAUCCCGAAAGCCGGUCCCAGUUCGGAUCGGAGUCUGCAACCCGACUCCGUGAAGCUGGAUUCGCUAGUAAUCGCGCAUCAGCCACGGCGCGGUGAAUACGUUCCCGGGCCUU
rnacentral:rRNA from 1 species